CUUAUUUCUGUAGCUUUUGAGUCAAGUUUGCGCACUCGAUCUUCUUCUCUUCUUGUUGGAAAGACUCACUGACUAUUAGAUCCUACUUUCGAGCUCUGGAGUCACGCAUGCACGCUCUUGUUCCUCUAACUGGGAAGACUCACAGACUUACUUAGUUCCGAGGUCUGUAAUCACGCAUGCGCAUUCGUCCUUCUGUCCUGUCCCUCUUGUUCCUACCCAGUGCAUUUGUUUAUCUAGCUAUUUACUCUAUUUUUUUCUUCUUCUAGACCUCCAUUGUUACCUUGACAAAAUAACUGGAGCUUAUUUUGCUACCGGAUAUUUGCUUUUUAUGCGUCUAACCUCUAAGCUUUUGAUUUACGAGGUGCUCAUUUGACCUUUGGAGGCAGCCAGUCAGCGUGCGGCGGCCAGGGUGGUGGCGUUCACGUGUGCUGUGUGUGUGUGAGAGAGGGGGGCGGCAUCUCUGUAUGUGCUUCAUGAUAUGUGAGUGUCGACCAGCUUUCUCCGCCGCCCACCUUGCCUGUCUGCCCGUGUGUAUGUCUGUCUGCCCAUGUGUCUGUUUAUCUGACGCCGCUGCCCUCCCAAGCUGCCCCGCGCCACCAGCCGGUACCGCUUAAGUAAUCAAAUGGAGCCUUGCUUUAUUUUUGUGUUUGUAUUAAUAUGUGCAUUGAUUUCCUUUGAUUUACGACUAAGAAGGUGUGAGAGAUUAUUUAGAUUUUUAUUAUUAUUUUUGUUGUUUUAGAUUAUUUAUUGUUUAUUUAUUUAUUUUUUGUUCUUUUAAAUUUGAGCUAUGCCUAUUUUUUUUUUUUUUACCAUACAUUUUAACGUUACUAUUAUUUCUAUAUGACUUGCCAUUGCAGCGUCAAGUAAGAAUUUUUUGUUUAAUCAGUUCACUUCACCUGGAAUCGUGUUAACUUGCUUUUUUAAGUUAAUAUAUCUUAGUAACUAUAA